GGAUGUGAGGGCGAUCUGGCUGCGACAUCUGUGAUCCCAUUGAUUGCCAGGGUUGAUUCAUCUGAUCUGGCUGCCUAGGUGGGUGUCCCCUUCCUCCCUAACCACUCCAUGCUUGUCUCUCCUGAAGCUGUGUGCUCAGUCAAUGAGGAUGACCUUCCCUGAUAGAGGACCGAUCUUCAGUCAAGGGUAUAUGAGUGGCCGCACUACCCUGCUAGAACCUCUAAACAAGCUCUCAAGCCAGCAACUCCUAUGUCUUCCAUUUUCACACCCAGUUGGUCACU
rnacentral:sRNA from 1 species